AUGGGCAAUUCGGGAUUAAGAACUUCCCAUCAGCCUUGCCGAAUUCUCUUAGAACUUCUAGCUAUACACGUUUCUCCUCUGUCUCCUGCCCAAGGGCCAGACCUGCGUGGAAGUGUGGCAGCUCCCCUGUCCACAGCUGCCUCCCCGUGUUCUGUUCCUCGGAAGAUGCUCCCUGAGGAAUCGCACUCAUCUCAUCCUGUGCGGCAUCUGCUUAAAGGACCUGGCCUAACAUGCCCUGCAACAGGCUUGAUGAGUAGGAUAACCUCUGCUUUCAUUGCAUUGUCUAGAGGUAAGGAAUUGGGGCACAAGAGAACCAAACAGUUCUUGUUUGGUUAUAAGUAAAUAAUUCUUGUUUGCUUGUCAGUAAAUAAUAAUCUGCUCUCCUCUUGUGUGUACAUUCAGGGUUAUGGAAACAAAUGAAGACCAACCAAAUGAAAAAAGCAAAGGCUAUUUCUUCAGAGCUUUCUAAGGUAAGGGAGCCAGCCACUGUCACUUUUUGCAUUUUGGCAAAGACUUCAGUGCAGGCAGAGGAGUGGGACGUUUUACAGAGUUAAAAAAGGGAAGGUUUCAGGUUUCAGGGGUGCACUGAUUACAGGCUGCUCGCCGGGGAAGCUGUGGAAUCAUGAGCUAACUGGAAAUGGGCUUCCUGUGUAGCAGGGUAGGCUGCACAUUUGGCUUUCUCUGGUUGGUUCUAAGUUGGAAGCAGGGGCAAAAAUUAGGGAAGCUGUCAGUUAUUAAUGAAGUCCUGGCCAUUUGGGGCCAGUUGUUAUAGAAGUUAUUGUUUAGCUUCCUGGUUUGUUAUUGGAAAUGGUCUUACCUCCUGUAAAUCUGACUUACAGCAGGCUGGCCUUCUGGGCUGUUCAUUGUAGACAAGGGACUGGUUUCCUGUGCAGGCUGUGGGUCAGAGUUCUGUUUUUAUAUAUGGUCUAGCCAUUGUUUGUUUGUGUAUUCAGUCUCUCAGAGUAAUAUUAAUGAAGAUAGAUAUUUAAAGCUUAGCCGUUUUCCUUCCCUGGUAAGAUUCAAGAAGUGAUUUCCUGAUGAGUCUUGGCAGAGGGUGCCUGGGACAUAUCAGAGUGCUACCCCAGCCUAGAAUGGGCAGGAGAGCUUGAUGACCCUGGGCGGUGAGGAUACUAGUGCUCAGGAGCAAGGGAAGUUAUCAGGGUCUGCAUGGAUGCACAUCCAGAGAACAGGAAGGGAACAUGAAGCCUGCAGAAAUUGCCGGCACCCUGAUCAGGUGCCUUCCAGUUCCCAAACCUUGGCACCAUGCAGGUCUUCAUGAACUUAGAUCAGUUUCAAGAAAGAGGGUAGGAACUCAUGAAUUGAUAGAAAUUUAUGUUUCCACUUGGAAAAAUAAAGUCUUAAAAUGUUAAGUUAUAGAAAAACAGUGAAAACUAUGGUUCUUGCAUGCCUCAGUGUGUGACUUGAGAUAGUCACACUGCCUUAAUUAUAAUAAUGAUAACAACAAUGAUAAAAAUAGUAAUGAUAAUCAUGUUGAAACACAUUACGUUCUCCUUUAGUAUUAUAGUUUUACUAUAUAUCUAUCAUUGUAAUGAUUCCUUUGUGUACAUCCUCAAAUCCUAUGUUCUCUUGAUUCACUGAACUCAAUUAGGAUUUGUGACUGUGUACCUCAAACGGCCGCUAAUGCCACCCAUAAAUCCUGAUACAUUUCCCUGGUGCAUUCACUUUCCCAUUCUCUUAGAUGACUGUUUCACAUCAUUUUCUCUCAAACCAUCAAUACCUCCUGCCUUCUCCUUAUACUCAACUUUGCUUACUAUUUCAUUGAAAAGAAAAUGCAGUCAGAACUUCUACAUACUCCCACUGAUAUGGUUUGGAUCUGUGUCCUUCAACCAAAAAUAAAACUUUAAGCCCCCCAACCAUCUAAAUGGACCUCUCCUCUUGGCCAAGGGCAUUCCAAAGUUAACCUGUAAAACUAGUUUAGGCCAUGAUGGGAACAGGAGGUUGGACACACCUCCUUACUGUUAAUAUCAACACAGACCUUAAGACUGAUGGAACAGACUCUUUAAGUCUGACAGGAAACAUUUACCAUCUCUUCUCUUUGAAGCCUGCUACCUGGAGGCUUCCUCUACGUGAUAAAACCUUGGUCUCCACAACCCCUUAUUAUAACCCAGACAUUCCUUUCUUUUGAUUCCAGGUCUUUAGAUGAUAACUCAACCAACUGCCAAUCAGAAAAUUUUUGAAUCCGUGUGUGACCCGAAAGCCCCCAGUUCCAGUUGUCCCUCCUUUCUGGAUUGAAUUGAUUGAUGUUUUAAGUCUCCCUAAAACCAAGUUGUAGGCUGACCACCUCGGGCCCAUGUCAUCAGGACCUCCUGAGGCUGUGUCACAGGCGUGUCCUUAACUUUGGUAAAAUAAACUCCUAAAUUACUUGAGACUUGUUUCAGAUACUCUUUGGUUUAUAGUCUCCACCCAAAUCUCAGGUUGAACUGUAAUCCCCAGUGUUGGAGGUGGGGCCCAGUGGGAGGUGACUGGAUCGUGGGGGCAAAUUUCUCAUGGAUGGUAUAGCAUCCUCCCCUUUGGGCUGUCCUCACAAGAGUGAGUGAGUUCUUAGGAGAUCUGGUUAUUUAAAAGUGUGUGUGGCCCCUCCCUCGUUGCCCUCUUGCUCCUGCUCUGGCCAUGUGACAUGUCUGCUCCCCCUUUGCCUUCUGCCAUGAUUGUAAAUUUCUUCAGGCUUCCCAAGAAGCUGAGCGAAUGCCAGAAUGUUGCUUCCUGUACAGCCCGCAGAACCGUGAGCCAAUUAGAUCUCUUUUCUUUAUAAAUUACUCAAUCUUGACUGUUCCAUUAUAGCAAUGAGAGAAUGGACUAAUACAGCCACCACUCUCUCCUACCUAUUUUAUAGGCUCUGCCUCACCUCUUGUUACCAUGCAUGAACUCUCCAUGCUUCAAGCCAAGCCCAACCCCUACAUCCCAGUUGCGUAGGCAGUUAUAAGCAAUGUAAAUAUAUAUCUUAAUACUGUUAUUCCUAGUUAUAUGGAAUGGUAGAAGGAGAAUUGAAACAAUUAAGCAGUUCUUACAUUGGAAAUAUGAGAACAAUGCAGAAUAACAAAUAAGUAAAACUGAUAUUUAAAAGUAACUACAGGCUGCGUACGGUGGCUCACACCUGUAAUCCCAGCACUUUGGGAGGCCGAGGCAGGCAGAUCACCUGAGGUUAGGAGUUUGAGGCCAGCCUAGUGAACAUGGCAGAACCUCGUCUCUACUGAAAAUACAAAAAUUAGCUGGGUGAGGUGGUGCAUGCCUGUAGUCCCAGCUACUUGGAAGACUGAGGCAUGAGAAUUGCCUGAACCCAGAAGGCAGAGGUUACAGUGAGCCGAGAUUGCACCACUGCACUCUAGCCUGGAUGACACAGCAAGACUUGUAUAAAAAAAAGUAAAUAAAAUAUAACUGUAGGCAUUUUUCAAUUAAAUCAAGGAUGACAAUUUUGGUAAAAUAAAAUACCUCAAUCCAAGCUUAUAGGAC
ensembl:lincRNA